rnacentral:tRNA from 1 species
CAAAAUGUAGCUAAAAUUUUAUAAAGCGCUUCACUUACAAUGAAGAGGUAACCUAGAAAUAUAAGGUUCAUUUUGG